UAUUCAAAAUACCUGCAAUUCUAGAGCUUCUAGCUUUAAUAAUAUACUCCACAUCUACAUCCUACGUGGAAAUAUGCAUCUACAUCACUUAUUUUAUUUUAAAAACACAAAAUCUAACAUUUCUCUACCCCCAAUUCCCAAAACCUAAACAAAUUCCCCUUCUUUCGUCUCUCACAUUUGAUUCUCCCUUCACCCGCUGCAAUUCGCCGUACUUCGGCCUCAAGCUAGAGCUGCCGCCCCUCCCUCCGGUUUGCGAUGCGCCACACUCCAUUCUCAAGUCGGCGCCGCCGCCCCUCCCUCCAGUACGGGCGCUGAUCUGCGAUGCACCGCAUCUACUAUAGUUGCGCGCGGCACAUUGACAUCCGCCGCCGCCGGCAGAGCCACCGACAAUGACAAAAAUAAUUCUCUUAUUUCCGGCGAUUCCAAACCCCCCAAUGGGACACUAAUAAUUUGGAGGCUUUUCUAUUUGUUUGAAUUUAAUUGAAUGAUUCUAAUUUCAUGUUAAUUUGCAGCCUAAGAGUAGGAGAGAGAUUCUUCUGGAGUAUGUGCAGAACGUACAACCUGAAUUUAUGGAGUUGUUCGUCAAGAAAGCGCCGCAGCAGGUAGUUGAUGCAAUGCGUCAGUGACAAAUAUGAUUGGAACUCUACCUCCACAAUUUUUUUCUUUGACAGUAACCACUGAUGAUUUUGUUCGUGAAAAUUAAGAAUUUGUGGCCAAUGGCUGCCACAGACGCAGUCAUUGGCUGCCUCGCCGUAUCUCUUUGCUGUCAACUGCCUUGGAGACUCCGCCAAGCCGUUGCUAUCUACUAUAGUCGCGCAUGGCACAGUCGCCGUCAAUGGCUGCCCCCCGCCAGUUAGCUUUGCAUUGGUUCUUGAUCAGCCAUGGUAAUGGUUUCCCUUGGAAUUCAGAGGAGUAUCCACUCGGUUUCAUCAUUGGUGGCCUUGUGACUUGGCUGCGGCAACAUUGAGCUUUGGAGGUAUUCAAGUUGGCGAAGGGGUUUAGGGGAAGGGCGAAGAAUUGCAUACGGAUUGCGCGGGAGAGAGUGGAGAAGGUGUUGCAGUACUCUUACAGAGAUCGCCUCAACAAGAAGCGGGAUAUGCGUGCUCUUUAGAUCCAGUGAAUCAACGCUGGCACUCGACAGCACGGGGUCCGUUUCACUUUCUAUUUCUAUCACUAAUCUUGCGGUUCUGCUGCUCUGUUUUUUUGUUUUUUUCUUUUUCAGUUUUUUAAGAACAAUAUGUGGGCGUGUUGUGUGACUUGAAUUAUGUGGUUCUGAUGUGAGCAAUUGAUUUGUUUGUUA